rnacentral:rRNA from 1 species
AUGUCUGGUCGUCAGUAUACCUGGGCCAAUAACCGAUCGGUGCCAACCUUUGAAAAACUUGAUCGAGUGCUAGUUACCACCGACUGGGAAUAUAAAUAUCCCCUAGCCUCGGUUCGGGCAUUAGAAAGAAUCGAGGCCUUAUCGGAUCACGCUCCAUUGCUCACCGAUUUUGGACAACCAAUCCCAAGCUCUGACCGUCACCAAUUUAAAUUUAAAUUGGGAUGGCUCACUAGAGAGGGAUUUCAUGACCUGGUUAAGAAAGUGUGGGCACGCCAGCCUCGUGGUAACACACCCAUUCAACGAUGGAAUAAUCGAAUUCGCGCAUUGCGUCGAUUCCUUCGUGGAUGGGCCAAGCAUACUGCUGGCAUCUACAAAAAAGAAAAACUGCGACUAUCUAUCUUAAUUGAUUCCCUUGAUAAAAUAGCGGAGGUGAGGCCUCUGUCUGCAGUUGAGAUCGAGCAAAAAAGCAAUCUAAACGAGCAGAUAGCCCGCCUACUACGUGAGGAAGAGAUUAAAUGGUACCAACGUUGCAAGGCGGAUUCGCUUGUGCAAGGUGAUGAUAAUACGAAAUACUUUCAAAUGCUUGCCAAUGGCAAACAUAGAAAGAAACGCAUAUUCACCCUUGACUAG